ensembl:lncRNA
UGCAUUUUAGCCUGGGACUAGAAUUACGACUUUGUGAAACCAGGUUCCACUGAUGUAACGUUGCUGUUCCACCGCAUGUGUUAACUAACUUAAUGCUAAUAUUAUACAAAUUUGAAAAAUAUAUAACAUACACAAUUACCUGCUUUGUCAAUUUCGUCGAGCAGAUGUUGAGGUCGUGCCCUUUUGCGCGGAUUUCUCCUCUCCAUUACGUAGCUUUCUUCUGAAUCUGAACUAGAACUGUGUCGUCGAUUCUCCAAUCCUAUUUGCGUAUAACGUCCAUCUCUGCUGAUUAAUUCAAUAAUCUGAUGUGACUCCUCCCCGUCGAGGUCAUUACUCCAAAGUGUAAUAACAUUUAUGGCUGGCUUUAUUCCAGUUAUUCUAAUAUCUUCCAACAACUUAAUAAAACUUUUAUUUUUCAUUUUGUCUUGUUCGAAUUGUAUGCACGCCAUGUUUGGUGCGAUAAAUGGCUCUUGAAUGAAAUGCUGUAAUCUGGAUCUUAACUGUUCUAGAGCACUUAAAUCCAAAACCCUUUUAGGUUUUAUUUCAGAUUUAGAUAUUUUUGUGGUUGUCCAGUGAUUGCUUGCUCUUUUAAUAGCAAAGCUUCGAAAUAAUAUGUUAACAUGAAUAGAUAAAGCUUGUCCAGUGAGUAACGUUACGCACAUACGUUUGCCGCGAACGUAGUACGUAACCUUUCCAAAUAAGGACAAAAAGGCGCCUACCGAAUCAGAAGUCAUUUUACAUGUUUUUCUUAUUCUUUAUUUUAGAUCUCCUUGUAGUUUUUCUUGGUGACAGGUUUUUUGAGCAGCGAGCGAAAUAAUGGGACUUGGAACAAAAGUUGUUUCACUUUGUGAGCAGACCAGCAGAAGAGGUACAAGAAGGUUAAUUAAAUGGCUAAAAAAACACAGACUACUCAAGACAAGAUUUAAAUGCAGACUGUGUAACAAAAAAAUGAAAUUCCAGAGGACACAAACAGGCGAUGGAUACCAAUGGGAAUGUCAAAGACGAACCCACAGCCAAAAAGUAACAAAGACAUGCAGGGCGGGCUCAAUUUUUGAGAAAAGCAAGGUCACCUUACAGAACUGGAUGAAGUUCAUAUACCGGUAGGUAACAUUAAUAUAU